rnacentral:rRNA from 1 species
UACCAGACUCCUACGGGAGGCAGCAGUGAGGAAUAUUGGUCAAUGGCCGGAAGGCUGAACCAGCCAAGCCGCGUGAAGGACGAAGGUGCCAAGCAUUGUAAACUUCUUUUGUCAAGGGACAAAAUCAGGCUCGAGAGCCUGACCGAGGGUACUUGAAGAAAAAGCAUCGGCUAACUCCGUGCCAGCAGCCGCGGUAAUACGGAGGAUGCGAGCGUUAUCCGGUUUUAUUGGGUUUAAAGGGUGCGUAGGCGGGCUGUAAAAUCAGGGGUAAAAGCCGGGGGCCCAACCCCGGGGAGCCGUUGAAACUGGCUGUCUUGAGAUGUCGAGAGGUAUGCGGAAUGCGCAGUGUAGCGGUGAAAUGCAUAGAUAUCACGCAGAACUCCGAUUGCGAAGGCAGCAUACCGGCGCGCAACUGACGCUCAUGCACGAAAGCGUGGGUAUCGAACAGGAUUAGAUACCCCCGUACA